UUUAUACUCCCUCUGUCCAACAAAGGGCGUCUCAAUUUUAAUUAAAUUUAAAUGCAUCUAUACACUAAGUCAUGUCUAGAUACAUCCAAAUUUUGACAAACUUGAGACAUGUUUUGUUGGACGGAUGGAGUACCAA
rfam:Brachypodium distachyon strain Bd21 chromosome 4, whole genome shotgun sequence.